GGCGUUCCGGAUAGGAGGACGGAUGUCGCUGCCAACGGGAUGAGCGCCAGUAGCCCGCAGCGCGGCUGCCUACCAUUGUAGGUUGCACUCAAGCCCGAACUAUAUGACCAGACAUCUAACAGUUUCCUGAGUGACGAAAGGUGAUUACAAGGGAACAGGCCAGUCCGGUAUCUUAUACUGUUUCUAUAUCCUAUGUGAGUUGCAUACUAUGCCAUUGUGUAUAUACUUGUCUGCCUUUUCUUAUUAGUAAGCGCAGAUAAGGUAGAUUGGAAACCGUAGUGUAUAGACCCAUCCAGCACAGUUUUUGGUUAUUUAACCUAAACAUACAACCAACAUGCAAAUUGUGCCAGUGCAAUUCCCCUGAGGAAGCUGUUUCCUCCAUUUCAGAAAUGCGUUGGGCAUAACUAUUGGUACAAUUGGUACUCACGUUUAAUCUGUUUUUUAAAAAAGUGUCACUUUUGGUAAUGGUGUAUUUUAUCAAGGAUACAUUAAAAGCUACGUUUUAAGAGAACUUUCCGUGGGCUUUAUAUUCCCCCUUAUGAUUUGUUAAUUUUCUCGGAAGAGACUAUCUAUUUGAUACCCGCUGUGGGGUUGCUAACUUAUCAAAGUUCAAGUAUUCCUGAAAGCCAAAGGGCCUCCUCUCCUUCUGGGUCUUACCAGACGGACAGGAAACAAAAUAUGACCUAAUUGGGGGUAUUGCCCAGCCCUGGAUGAACAGCGUAAUAAAAUUGUAUUGUGUUGUAUUGUAUUGUGUGUGUUUCCUCCAUUUCAGAAGCGAUGUACCAAAAUGAUGUCGCACAAAUAAAGGGUUUGUGGAAAAAAGCUAAUUUCUAAUAUUUUCCACUGACUUUGAA